rnacentral:lncRNA from 1 species
AUAUGAUGAAAAGGAUUGUUGUUGGUCCAUGUUUUCAGUUCCUAUAUUUAUCCUCGGAAUUCAGGGUGUUACAAAUGAUUGUCACAAACAACAACAUUUGGCAAUCCUAUUACAUGGAAGUAACAACAAUGUAAUACGUUCUUUGAAAUGAAUAACUUUGUAACGUUUGUUUUGUUUUGUCCAUGGCUUGAAUUGGUUUUCUCGCUCAACAUUCUGCAAAAGAGAACACACAGUCAAGAAAAACCACCAAGAAAAGUAAAAGAACAAAGCAAUAAAAUUGUGCUACUAAGCAGGCGUAUGGUAUGAACUAAAUGCCAGUAUUAAUACUCUAAAACCAUAUUAGUAUAGCAAAUGUAGGGCUAACAUACAGAUAUGCAUAUGGCUAGAGUGCUACACUGCUACACAAUGUGUGUAACAAAGAUUAGAAAUAUUUCUUUUAACUCCAGAAGAAUUAAGCUAUUCUGAUUUAAAAAAGUUUGUGCAAGUACAUGCAAAAUAUAUUCGGUCCUUAAUAAGGGAUAGAAGUGUGAUCAUUAGCAGCAUGACAACACACUUAAUUUGUCUGAUUUAACCAAGAGCAUAAGUAUAACCAUAUACAGUGUAAAAAUCAAUGUGUGAUUUAGAUAGGUAAAUCCUCUGUGUAACGAAUAAUAAUAUCUCGGUUGAUGAUAUAUAUUUUCAAAGUGAAGGUUGAAUAAAAUAACAGGUUAAAGUUGUAGCAAACCACCGCUACGUUUACUUGCCUCUAACAACGAAGAGACGAUACCAAGCAUAAUCCGAAGCACCACCACCUAUUCACAAGACAACCUCAGCAUAUACACUCAAACAUGCAUAUAAAACAAUAAAUAAUAUACCCCUACGGCCCCAGCCCGUUAACACGCAAAUACAAGGAACGCCGCUUGGACUAUAAACAACACUGCUGAUUCAAACAUUUAUAUGUCAAAAUAUAAAAAGGAUAUGACUGCAAAUAAAUACACUUUGGAAAUCUACAGAACAAUACCUACAACUUUUGUGUAGAAAGAAUACUUUUAUUCUGCCAUUUAAAUGGUCUAAUUUGCGCUUGAAAGCAGGCUUCAGAAUCUGCCCGAGAAUUCAGACUGCCACACUAAAAUAACCAUAUCUGGAGUUCUACUCAUCCGAUCAAAGUGUACUUUACCAACAUAGAAAGCUUAGAGAAAACUCUACAACUUUGUCUAUAGAGAUCUUGACUGAUUCCACUGUUUAUCCCCUCUGAAAACAGUUCAAUCUACUAUUGUCCAGAUUAUGACAUAAAAACAACAGUCAUACUCAAAAAUUCAUAUAUCCUUAACCACACAAGGUAAAAUCACGCCCUUUGGUCAGAAAAUAGAUCUAUGAAUUGUCUACAACUUCCUAGUUAUACACUUUCGCAGAAAACAUCAUUUAGACCCCCGAAACAACAAAAAACUGAAACACUGCAAAUCUGCCAACAGAGGAGAACUACCAAACCAAACAACAACAAACAAAACCCCUUCUCUAACCUUCGUUUACCACGAAUUAAACCACUAAAAUCACCUAGAACAACUGAUACAACAAGGGGGUAAACCUCACCUAGGGUUUCUCUUUUAUAUCCCGUGGGAAACGGCGGGGAAACUCCGAUCCAACCCAUCCUUCUUCUCCUCUCCUUCUCGUCGUUCCGUUUUUCCACUUCGCUUCUUGAUCCAAGCUAUGAAGGUAGAGAUCUCGGGAGAGCAAUAUAUGCUAGAGAGGAGAGGAAGAAAACUACGUACAGGAGGUGAGGGUGGAGGAGUCACGGCCGGCAUCAAAG